CUUCGGAUGCUUGCAACAGGACGUAUUUAAUGUUUUAAUUACAUAUCCUGCAGAUGCCAGCUGAGUGACAGAAUCAACAGCACAUGUUCCAGCCCAUAAACAAAUAAAACCGACACAAACUGCGAUGAAGUGAAGGAAUCGAGGGUCACUCACUCGACUCACCUCAGGUUUGAGCAGAUCGUGGGUGCCGACGAGUGCUUUGGGAACGACGAGGCGUCUGACUGACGAGGAUGUGUCCGAAUCAGCUGUGCCAACACACUUGGACCAGAGUAGGCUUGGGUGACGCUUGGACAUGCAGAAUUAGGGAUGUGUGUGGACUGUUACACCCAGCCAACAGAAGCAUGUGGACAGACAUUGACUGUAAUGAUGGACAUCUGCUCAUGCACAGGCGGACCUGGUGUGGCCUCCACUUCAAAAUCACACCAUUAAAAAGCGUGAAGACGCCAGGCAUUUCAGAUACUCCUUAACUUCCAAACGAGAAUGAGACAUGAAAUUGGAAUUUGGAAAAUAAACCCAACGAAGUCUUUAAGGGGUGAAGUAGUAAGUAUGAGAGGAGAUUUAUUGACAGAGAUUCUUGUCUAUGGUUUCCUACAGUUACCCGUCCAAUGAAAAAAGAAGAAAAAAAAGAAAAAAAAAGUGUCCCAUAGUUGCCUCUGUCACUUCUAUACAAGCCUUAGUGUUAUCUAUUUGGCUUGAGGGUUCUAUGUAUCUACAAAUAUAUAACAAAUAAAACUUGCAGGCAAAAAUAGUUUGGUUUUCAUAGAAACACCUUUUUUUUUCCUGAAAAUACAGCAGUAUCUGAAAUAUUUCUCAAUUCAUUUGUCCCCAUUUCUCUGCAUCAGGAAGCUCUUCCAUCAACGAACAGAAAAAAAAAAAAUAUCUACAAACUUUGUAAACAGACCUGUGUCUUCCAAAAAAUAAAAAACAAAAGCAUAAAUAAUAAUAAUUCAAAAUAUUAA